GUAAAAUCCAAAGAGAGGAAUACCACUGUUAAUGCUAUCACUGGAUGACUUAGUCCUUACUAAAGAAACCUGCGGAAUCUGGUGAAAGCCGCUAACUUGUCACCACAGCGGUUUAACUCCGUUGAGAUUUCU
rnacentral:tRNA from 1 species